rnacentral:rRNA from 1 species
UACGGAGGAUCCGAGCGUUAUCCGGAUUUAUUGGGUUUAAAGGGAGCGUAGGCGGGUUGUUAGGUCAGUUGUGAAAGUUUGCGGCUCAACCGUAAAAUUGCAGUUGAUACUGGCAUCCUUGAGUACAGUAGAGGUAGGCGGAAUUCGUGGUGUAGCGGUGAAAUGCUUAGAUAUCACGAAGAACUCCGAUUGCGAAGGCAGCCUGCUGGACUGUAACUGACGCUGAUGCUCGAAAGUGUGGGUAUCAAACAGG